UUUUUUUUUUUUUUUUUUUUUUUUUUUUUUUUUUUUUUUUCUGUCUCUUUCUGUCCUCUGGAAAUGAUGAAAAGAUCACAUGAGGAGCAGGCACGGCGACCCAGGACCCUCGUAAGUCGGAGAAGGCAUCGGACACAUCCUCAGCAUACUUUUCAGAGCUCUUAUUUGAGCAGGAUUUUUAUCUCCUUCACGAAGCUGAUGGGCAACCAGUGCAUUUUCUGGAGGAAAAAAAAAACCUCUCUCAUGUUUAGUUCCACCUGUCCCUCUGUUUUUCACGUCCCGAUACUAGCAACCUGUCGUCAGCACAGAAGGCAGAGCUGGCCAUUGUCGAUCACAGCUGCCAAUGGUCACCGACACCCAAGGCUCCUCUCAAGGAAAGGAGGAAAGAAAUUAUCUUCCCAAUCUG